rnacentral:lncRNA from 1 species
GUGAGCUCUCCGGGCAGUGCCGUGCUCUGCCGGGUACCCUCGGGGGUAUCCUCUCAAAUUCUAUGCGUCGGAGUAAUGCUGUUGGCAUAAACUAGGCUGUCUUCUGCUUUCUGUGUCAUGGAUACAGUGCUUGCUGAAGAUUGAAAGUGCCCUCAGAAACUUUUGGAGACUUCACCAGUGAAUCCAUCUGGUUCUAGGCUUUUCUUUGUUGAGAAGUUUUGAUUAAAGGAUGUUACUUGUUAUAUGUCUGGUAAGACUUUCAAUUCCUUUUUUGAGUCAAUUUAUGUAAUUUAUGUGUUUCUAGGUAUUUGUCCAUUUCAUCUAGGUUAUCCAAUUUUUGGUGUAUAAUUGUUCAUAGGAUUCUUUUAUAAUGCUUUUUAUUACUGUUUGUUCAGAAAUAAUGUACCUGCUUUCAUUUCUGAUUUUGAUUAUUUGCAUAUUCAUGUGUAUGUGUGUGUCAGUCAAGCUAAAGGUUUGUCAAAAUUGAUUUUUUUCAAUAAACUAACUUUUGGUUUCAUUGAUCUCACUAUUGUUUUUCCAUGAUCUAUUUUUAUUUAUUUCUACUCUGAUCUUUGUUUCCCUCUUUGUGUUAGCUUUUGGUUUAGUUUGCUCUUCUUUUUCUUGAGCCUUAACGUAUGAAGUUAGUUUAUUGAUUUGAGAUAUAUUUUCUUUUUUUUUAUGUAGGCAUUUACAGCUAUACAUUUCCCUCUGAGUACUGCCUUUAUUGCAUCCUAUAAGUUUUG